AGAGUUUGAUCCUGGCUCAGGACGAACGCUGGCGGCGCGCCUAACACAUGCAAGUCGAACGAGCGAGAGAGAGCUUGCUUUCUCAAGCGAGUGGCGAACGGGUGAGUAACGCGUGAGGAACCUGCCUCAAAGAGGGGGACAACAGUUGGAAACGACUGCUAAUACCGCAUAAGCCCACAGCUCGGCAUCGAGCAGAGGGAAAAGGAGCAAUCCGCUUUGAGAUGGCCUCGCGUCCGAUUAGCUAGUUGGUGAGGUAACGGCCCACCAAGGCGACGAUCGGUAGCCGGACUGAGAGGUUGAACGGCCACAUUGGGACUGAGACACGGCCCAGACUCCUACGGGAGGCAGCAGUGGGGAAUAUUGCACAAUGGGGGAAACCCUGAUGCAGCGACGCCGCGUGGAGGAAGAAGGUCUUCGGAUUGUAAACUCCUGUUGUUGAGGAAGAUAAUGACGGUACUCAACAAGGAAGUGACGGCUAACUACGUGCCAGCAGCCGCGGUAAAACGUAGGUCACAAGCGUUGUCCGGAAUUACUGGGUGUAAAGGGAGCGCAGGCGGGAAGACAAGUUGGAAGUGAAAUCUAUGGGCUCAACCCAUAAACUGCUUUCAAAACUGUUUUUCUUGAGUAGUGCAGAGGUAGGCGGAAUUCCCGGUGUAGCGGUGGAAUGCGUAGAUAUCGGGAGGAACACCAGUGGCGAAGGCGACCUACUGGGCACCAACUGACGCUGAGGCUCGAAAGCAUGGGUAGCAAACAGGAUUAGAUACCCUGGUAGUCCAUGCCGUAAACGAUGAUUACUAGGUGUUGGAGGAUUGACCCCUUCAGUGCCGCAGUUAACACAAUAAGUAAUCCACCUGGGGAGUACGACCGCAAGGUUGAAACUCAAAGGAAUUGACGGGGGCCCGCACAAGCAGUGGAGUAUGUGGUUUAAUUCGACGCAACGCGAAGAACCUUACCAAGUCUUGACAUCCCUUGACGAACAUAGAAAUAUGUUUUCUCUUCGGAGCAAGGAGACAGGUGGUGCAUGGUUGUCGUCAGCUCGUGUCGUGAGAUGUUGGGUUAAGU
rnacentral:rRNA from 1 species